UACGGAGGGGACUAGCGUUGUUCGGAAUUACUGGGCGUAAAGCGCACGUAGGCGGAUUUGUAAGUCAGGGGUGAAAUCCCGGGGCUCAACCUCGGAACUGCGUUUGAUACUGCAAAUCUCGAGUCCGGAAGAGGUGAGUGGAAUUCCUAGUGUAGAGGUGAAAUUCGUAGAUAUUAGGAGGAAUACCGAUGGCGAAGGCAGGUCUCUGGGCUGACACUGACGCUCAUGCACGAAAGCGUGGGGAGCAAACAGG
rnacentral:rRNA from 1 species